rnacentral:lncRNA from 10 species
UUCUAGGGGUUUUGAAAGAUGUAAAUUGCCACUUGUACCAAAGGGAUGCUUAUUGUUGGACCAGAAUCGUUUCUUCAGGCCUAAUUUACAUCUAAAUGUGGAGCAAGAGAGUGACACAGAAGGAAAACUCCACCUUUUCGUCCACUGGAGAAAUGAAGCAUGCCUAAGCAUUCAUGCAGCUGUUGCAGAUGGGGGAACCCUGGUCAGUGAUUGGCCUCCUCAUGCAAACUGGGCCAGUGAAUCUCCGUGGAGGCCACGCUUUCCUGACCCAACAGUCAGCUCCCAGGAAGAAGUCCUCCCUCAUUUUCAAGGCCUCAUUCUUAGCUGUAUCUGGGUCACCUCUGGCUUUUUACCAAGGUAACUGCGCAUUGAAAAAGGGAAAUGAUCAGACAUUAGGAACUACUGGACACUGGCUCUGAGCUGACGUUGAUUCCAGGGGACCCAAAACAUCAUUGCGGUCCUCCAGUUAAAGUAGAGGCUUAUGGAGGUCAGGUAAUUAAUGGAGUUUUAACUCAGAUCUGACUUACAGUGGGUCCAGUGGGUCCCCCAACACAUCCUGUGUCAUUUCCCCAGUGCCAGAAUGCAUAAUUGCAUAAGCAUACUUAGCAGCUGGCAGAACCACCACAGUGGCUCCCUGACUGGUAGGGUGAGGGCUAUGAUGAUGGGAAAGGCCAAAUGGAAACCAUUAGAGCUACCUCUACCUAGAAAAAUAGUAAAUCAAAAACAAUAUGGUAUCCCUGGAGCAAUUGUUGAGAUUAGUGCCAUCAUCAAGGACUUGAAGACCCAGGGGUGGUGAUUCCCAGCACAUCCCCAUUCAAUUAUCUCAUUUGGCCUGUGGAGAAGACAGAUGAAUCUUGGAGAAUGACAGUGGAUUAUCAUAAGCUUAACCAAGUGGUGACUCCAAUUGCAGCUGCCAAACCAGAUGUGGUUUCAUUGCUUGAGUAAAUUAACACAUCUCCUGGUACCUAGUGUGCAGCCAUUGACUUGGCAAAUGCCUUUUUCUCCAUUCCUGUCCAUAAGGCCCACCAGAAGCAAUUUGCCUUCGGCUGGCAAGGCCAGCAAUAUACCUUUACUGUCCUACAUCAAGGGUGUAUGAACUCACUGGCUUUGUGUCAUAAUCUUAUUCAGAGAGAACUUGAUUGCUUUUUGACUCCAGAAGAUAUCACACUGGACCAUUACAUUGAUGACAUUAUGCUGAUUGGAUCCAGUGAGAAAGAAGUAGCAAACACACUGGACUUAUUGGUGAGACAUUUGCAUGCCAGAGGAUGGGAUAUAAAUCUGCCUAAAUUCAGAGACCUUCUACCUCAGUAAAAUUUCUAGGGGUCCAGUGAUGUGGGGCCUGUCGAGUUAUUCCUUCUAAGGUGAAGGAGAAGUUGCUGCAUUUGGCCCUUCCUACAACCAAGAAAGAGGCACAAUACCUAGUGGGACUAUUUGGAUGUUGGAGGCAACACAUUCCUCAUUUGGGUGUGUUACUCCAGCACAUUUAUCGAGUGACCCGAAAGGCUGCCAGUUUUGAGUGGGGUUCAGAAUAGGAGAAGGCUCUAAAACAGUUCCAGGCUGCUGUGCAAGCUGCUCUGUCACUUGGGCCAUAUGAUCCAGCAGAUUCAAUGGUGCUUGAGGUGUCAGUGGCAGAUAGGGAUGCUGUUUGGAGCCUUUGGCAGGCUUCCAUAGGUAAUCACAGCAGAAGCCUCUAGGAUUUUUGAGCAAAGCCCUGCCAUCUUCUG